ACGAACGCUGGCGGCAUGCCUAACACAUGCAAGUCGAACGCGACCUUCGGGUCUAGUGGCGCACGGGUGCGUAACGCGUGGGAACCUGCCCUUAGGUUCGGAAUAACUCCCCGAAAGGGGUGCUAAUACCGGAUAAUGUCUUCGGACUAAAGAUUUAUCGCCUUUGGAUGGGCCCGCGUUGGAUUAGCUAGUUGGUAGGGUAAAAGCCUACCAAGGCGACGAUCCAUAGCUGGUCUGAGAGGAUGAUCAGCCACACUGGGACUGAGACACGGCCCAGACUCCUACGGGAGGCAGCAGUGGGGAAUAUUGGACAAUGGGCGAAAGCCUGAUCCAGCAAUGCCGCGUGAGUGAUGAAGGCCUUAGGGUUGUAAAGCUCUUUUACCCGGGAUGAUAAUGACAGUACCGGGAGAAUAAGCUCCGGCUAACUCCGUG
rnacentral:rRNA from 1 species